rnacentral:rRNA from 1 species
GAUGAACGCUAGCGGCAGGCCUAAUACAUGCAAGUCGAGGGGUAGAAGAGGCUUGCUUCUUUGAGACCGGCGCACGGGUGCGUAACGCGUAUGCAACCUACCUUCAUCUGGGGGAUAGCCCGGAGAAAUCCGGAUUAAUACCGCAUAAAAUCACAGGAUGGCAUUAUCCAAUGAUCAAACAUUUAUGGGAUGGAGAUGGGCAUGCGUGUCAUUAGCUAGUUGGCGGGGUAACGGACCACCAAAGCGACGAUGACUAGGGGAUGUGAGAGGAUGGCCCCCCACACUGGUACUGAGACACGGAACAGACUCCUUCGGGAGGCAGCAGUAAGGGAUAUUGGUCAAUGGAGGCAACUCUGAACCAGCCAUGCCGCGUGCAGGAAGACUGCCCUAUGGGUUGUAAACUGCUUUUAUUCGGGAAUAAACCUUAUUACGUGUAAUAAGCUGAAUGUACCGAAGGAAUAAGGAUCGGCUAACUCCGUGCCAGCCGCCGCGGUAA